UGUGCUCUUCUGAUCUGUCACUUAUCCUGCAGUACCCCAAUGACAUAUGUCUUGAGUCUUGACGACGUGGUCAUGCAAAUGGCCCAUCUAGGAGGGAUUUCCUCAGAAACGACUGUUUUUUCUUCUGGGUUUAUCUGACCCUCUGAGACUUAUGAAGAACAGUAACAACUAGAGAUACUGUACUGUUUCACCACUGGCCACAGGUUCUACUGAAUCUAAGCUUUGAAGAAAAAUCCUCACUUUCUAGUCCUUUUGAUUAAACCCAUAAAUCACAGACCUUCACUGAAGUAUAGCCCAGCUUAGUAGGUGGACAACUUGUAACCACAGAUCAGUAAACAGUACACAGUGCCACUCUAACAGUCAUCACCUACAAAACCUGCAUAAAAAUAGCAGUUAAAUACACACCUGAACCAUGCUUCUAUCUGGGUUCUACAGGAUGAAUUUGGACAUGCCUUUAGUAUUAAGAAAAAAGCAAGAUUGUUCAAGCAUUUCAAAAGCCCUCUAAAGAAGAGAUGAGGGCCUGAUAGGUUCUUCCUCUCCAGAAAUGGAAUGUAUCUGCUUC